GCUGAUCAGCCAUGCCGCGUGAGUGAUGAAGGCCUUAGGGUCGUAAAGCUCUUUCGCCAGAGAUGAUAAUGACAGUAUCUGGAAAGAAACCCCGGCUAACUCCGUGCCAGCAGCCGCGGUAUACGGAGGGGGUUAGCGUUGUUCGGAAUUACUGGGCGUAAAGCGCACGUAGGCGGAUCAGAAAGUAUAGGGUGAAAUCCCAGGGCUCAACCCUGGAACUGCCUUGUAAACUCCUGGUCUUGAGUUCGAGAGAGGUGAGUGGAAUUCCGAGUGUAGAGGUGAAAUUCGUAGAUAUUCGGAGGAACACCAGUGGCGAAGGCGGCUCACUGGCUCGAUACUGACGCUGAGGUGCGAAAGUGUGGGGAGCAAACAGGAUUAGAUACCCUGGUAGUCCACACCGUAACGAUGAAUGCCAGACGUCGGCAAGCCGCUUGUUGGUGUCACACCUAACGGAUUAGCAUUCCGCCUGGGGAGUACGGUCGCAAGAUUAA
rnacentral:rRNA from 1 species